UACGGAGGGUGCAAGCGUUAAUCGGAAUUACUGGGCGUAAAGCGCACGUAGAUGGUUUGUUAAGCCAGCUGUGAAAUCCCCGGGCUCAACCUGGGCACUGCAGUUGGAACUGGCAAGCUAGAGUAGGGUAGAGGGGUGUGGAAUUCCAGGUGUAGCGGUGAAAUGCGUAGAUAUCUGGAGGAACAUCAGUGGCGAAGGCGGCACCCUGGACUCAUACUGACACUGAGGUGCGAAAGCGUGGGGAGCAAACAGG
rnacentral:rRNA from 1 species